rnacentral:rRNA from 1 species
ACUGAAUAGAUACCCUGGUAGUCCCAGCUGUAAACGAUGCAGACUCGGUGAUGAAACUGGCUUUAUGCCAGUUCAGUGCCGCAGGGAAGCCGUUAAGUUUGCCGCCUGGGGGAGUACGGUCGCAAGACUGAAAACUUAAAGGAAUUGGCGGGGAGCACCACAAGGGUGGAAGCCUGCGGUUCAAUUGGUAGUCAACGCCGGAAACUACUUACCGGGGGUCGGACAGCAGAGUGAAGGUCAAGCUGAAGAACUUUACCUACGACAAGCUGAGAGGAGGUGCAUGGCCGUCGCCAGCUCGUGCCGUGAGGUGUCCUGUUAAGUCA